rnacentral:piRNA from 1 species
UGCUAGUGUCACAGGUUACUCCUUUGCUAG